UGUAAGUUUUGUUUUGUUGUUUAUGGUACCAUUACGGGAAUUGAAUUUAUUUUUACCUAAAUUGUUACUAGAUAAUAAGAGUGAAUAAUUUUAAGAUUCCAGGUUGAAUAAAACAUGUAUGAUGAAAGCAUUGAUGUGACCAAUGCUGAGGAAGUGAGGAGCCCUACACCUGAGAGCUUGGCCAGCAACUUGAGCAGAAAUGAUGAUUCCAAGAGUAAAGACCCACCUCUAACUUCGAGGCAAACUCCUUCACGAAUGGGCAAGACUCGGCCUCACACGUCUGCUGCGGAACUUGAUUCUGAUCUCUCUGACAACACUGAUGAUGAUGAUAAUGAUGUCCAGGCUGCUCUACUGGAAGGAUCAUAUGAUCCUCGUGAGUUUGAUCACUUGAGUGUCGCCCAGGAUAUCAGAGAAGUUUUUCAAUUUAUCACUUGUUACACACCGCAGAACAUAGAGCUGGACUACAAGUUGAGGCCAUUUGUUCCGGACUUCAUCCCAGCAGUGGGAGACAUAGAUGGGUUCCUGAAGGUGGGGCGGCCGGAUGGUGAGAGUGAUGGGCUGGGCCUGCGCACCCUGGACGAGCCAUGUGCCGCACAGAGCGAGCCGGCUGUCCUCUGCUUGCGUCUACGCGCUAGUACCAAGCAGUCCUCUGCCAAGGCCAUGGUAGUGAAAAAAGUUGAGAAUGCAGACAAAAACCCCAAAGCUCUCGACAGGUGGAUUCAUGACAUCAAUGAGUUACACAAGAGCAAGCCAGCACCUACAGUCCAAUAUUCCAGAAACAUGCCAGACAUAGACAGCUUAAAACAUAAUCUCCCAACACGAUCUUUGCAGAAGCAUGCCGGACAUAGACAGCCUAAUGCAAGAGUGGCCUGCCAUGUUUGAGGAGAAACUGAACCAACUGGGCUUGCCAACUGCAGACCUGGACUGUGACUUGCCCACCUUGGUCGACAUCAUCUGUGGUAUCUUCGAUGUGCCUCGUUAUGAGUCCAGAAUAGAAUCACUUCAUGUUCUCUUCUCCUUGUACUCCGCUAUUAAAAAUUCACAAUUUCAGAAGCCUGAUAACUAACUCAUGAAAACUUUCCUUGAAACAGUUAAAAACGAUUCACUCUAGGUUAUAAUAUAUCAGUAAACUAGUCUCUAUUUGUAUGUUCCUGUGUUAGGAGAAAAUACUUAUAACUUAUGUUCUGUUUGUUUUGUGAUAAGUUAAUUCAAUUUAACAAAACCCCUUCUAUUAUUCAUAUUUUCCACUAAAAAGUUAGUAAGCAAAAAAUAAUAUGUAUUUUUUUUGUAAAAGUUUGUGAAACUGUCUUAAUGAGUCAAAAUAUAGAUUUUUUAAUAUAUGUUU